CAAGGCCUAGAUCUGUGUUGUGGGCCCAUUCUAACCUUAUCUUCAAUGUUUUGUAAACAUUUUCUCAUAGACGAAACACCGGAGGGUUUCAACCAUCAGAGGCUGAGAAUUGGACUUCCCCAUUUCAGCCGUGCAGGCAAAUAUCCCCAAACACCAGGGCCAUCUCUUCACCCCGGCCAUUAUGGACCCCGCUAGAUGUAUGGCGUGCUAAUUGCUCCUCUCUCCUCUCCACCCGAAUGAGCGGUUGUAGGUCCCAAAUAAGGAAAGCACCAGGGGCCCUUGGGGAGACUGGAUGGGGGGUAGGUGGGAGGGGGGGGUAGUUUA